GAAGAGCACUGAGGUGAAUUAUGCCUCCAUCCUAGUGGUCUCCAACACCGAGACACCACUGGAGCCGGAAAUUAGAAGAAAUUAGCAAGAUGGAAGGUGCGUGGCAGGCUUUGACUGUGACACAGGACAACAGAACCCAGAUCCCCUACAGCAAGCCUAGCUGGUCAGAUCAUCAACCUGGCCAACAUCCUGGCAGGAUCUUUGGUGAGAGUAUGGGGCUGAUCCAGGUACUCCUCCAGGCCAAAGCCCUGCAGUUGCAGUACUACCUGAAGACAGGUGAAGGAGAGGAAAAUGAACGUAGCAAGGCGUGGAUGAUCCAUUUCCUGAUGAAGGUUGGCAGCCUUGGAAACAGUUUGGCCUUGAAGAAGAUCAAGAGCAGAGAUUUGAAACAGCGGACCAGUGUUACAGCUCUCUUACAGCUCAGAAUUUUGCUCAGCAAGCAAACGAAAGUACACCCUCAAGGUGUGAGAGCAGGCCGAUCCCCAAAGGGAGGCAUCCAUCUUGGUUUCCUCUUUGUAUACAUUUGUCUCUUGCCCCUGAGCCUGCCCUAUGGAAACUACCUAGCUAGCUGGGGGGUGGGGGUGGGGGGGGAGGCGCUGUUUUUUUCACCUGAGGUCCUUACUCCAGUCCUCAGAUUUUCUUUUGUUCCACUUUCGCUUUUUCCUUUCUUUGUCUUUAAGCCACCACCAUUUUGGACUCCUUUUUCCUAUUUUUCUUAUUCUAACUAACAUUCCCACCUCAAGAGAUAGGAGGCCCAUUUCUUAGGGAACAGAGACGUCAAGCUUUCUCUGGCUACUUCCGGCCAAGUUGGGAUAGCAAGGGGCACUGGGCCUCCCUCUUUUGCUAGUCUGAAGCCUCAGAGUCCUUAUAGUGGUGUUCAUCUAAGGGUGAGUGAUAUUUUCCGUGAUUGGGUGUAAUUUUAUAUAUCCUUGUUGAACUGGCGUUGCAUGUUGAGACAAAAUGGGUUAAACAAUCAAUAAUACAUGGAGCAAUCAUAGGCAGCAUCAAUAUGGUGAUAACAGGGAUUAGUAGGGGCAUUAGCCAACUCCAAAUUCCCCAUCGCCAGGAGAAGAGCCCCCAAAGAGGGAUUCUAGCCACCCCGAGAACUCUGCAGCUCAUUCUUUGAGAUCCUGUAGGAUCUGAAUGUUUUUCUUGAGGACUAUGAGACUUUAACUUAGCUGGGAUAUUUACCCAGAAACAGCAUGUCUCAUUCAAGAUGGUUCAAGUCCCUCCUUGUUCAGGGGUCAGGAGAUCUAUCUCCUGUCUAUCUCGCGCUACAACCCCUGCCAAGCAGUGUUGUCUCUUUAGAUCUAGCCUGAGAAAUCUUAUCCCUUGAAACUUAAUUUUGGGGGUUAUGAUUAGAAUGGCACUCAUUUGUAGUCCUGAAUGGGCAUCUGAGAUCUCCCACUCCUGUUUUGCCCCCUAGUUCCUUCAUCCUACCGAGUUUUGCAUGGUUCUAUCUAUUCUUUUCCACUGGUCAGGUGCUCCUGUCCACUCUCAGCUGGUGUUCUGCAUGCACUUCUGUGUCUGAAAGUAUAUUGCUGAUGUAUAUGUGGAGAGAGAUGUACUCCACGUCCACCUCUUCUCCGUCAUCUUGUUCUCGCCUCUCUAGGGAUAUUUUAAAUAACAUUUUAAAAUGGUAUUUCCAAGCCAAGGAAACAUGCCUUUGCUUUUAGUUUAUUGACUAUUCUUAAUGAUGUAUUUUCAUCAGAUUGGGUUGGGCUAAUCAGGAAUUCUAUAAUUGGUCUUUGAUUUGUCAGUGGUUGUUCAAACUAACUUUCAAAAAACAGUUAAAAAUACUGGGAUACAAAUUAGACCAUGAGCAGCUCCAAAUAGGGUCACAAGAAACAAUCUUAAAAAGUGUCCUAAAGAUGUAUACUUUAGCUGCAGACAGGACACACACCCCUAUUAUUGUUGAAAAUGCUCUUUGUAACACAGGGUAGCCUAGCAGAUACAAUGUCUCAAUGGUUUUUCAGUUUCUGAGGGCUCUGAACUUGAAACAAAUGCAUAGGAAAUGUGAGCAGAAAAGUCAAAAGAAAACCCUAUACAAAUGACAAGAUUAGUCAUGGCUACCGAAUCAAGAUUAACAUUCCAGAAGGCCAUAAAACCCAGGAGGCCCAUAAUCACAGAAGCAAUAGCAAAAGUUGCCCACAAAGAACGCAGGGGAUGAGGAAUUAACAAUAAGGAAACAAUGAACAUAGCUGUUGAUGCAACAGUCACAUUUGAAUAGUGUUUUCUAAUAUUAGAUAGCAUAUUCAAAAACAGAGACAUUACUUUGCCGACUAAGGUCCGUCUAGUCAAGGCUAUGGUUUUUCCUGUGGUCAUGUAUGGAUGUGAGAGUUGGACUGUGAAGAAGGCUGAGCACCGAAGAAUUGAUGCUUUUGAAGUGUGGUGUUGGAGAAGACUCUUGAGAGUCCCUCAGACUGCAAGGAGAUCCAACCAGUCCCUUCUGAAGGAAAUCAGCCCUGGGAUUUCUUUGGAAGGAAUGAUGCUAAAGCUGAAACUCCAGUACUUUGGCCACCUCAUGCGAAGAGUUGACUCAUUGGAAAAGACUCUGAUGCUGGGAGGGAUUGGGGGCAGGAAGAGAAGGGGAUGACCGAGGAUGAGAUGGCUGGAUGGCAUGAUGGACUCGAUGGAUAUGAGUCUAAGUGAACUCCAGGAGAUGGUGAUGGACAGGGAGGCCUGGCGUGCUGCGAUUCAUGGGGUCGCAGAGAGUCAGACACGACUGAGCGACUGAAAUGAACUGAACUGAACUGAAUAUUGCAGAAUACUGAUUGAAAUAUAUGAAAGCCUGGUUGUAUACCAUUAGGGGAACUUGACACUUCUUGGCCAUGUCUCGGAACUGAUGUAAUAUUGGUUUCUUAUUGGUUAAGAAGACAUACUCAUAGUUUGAAUGAAGGCCUGGGAACAAAUUAUUUCCUGUGAUAAUGUGAUAUUAAUGUUAUACACAAAAAGUGGAAAUUCCAUUUAAAAAGUGCAUUUAUUGCUCAGAAAAGCUGUCUUAUCAUUUAUAUCUUGAAGGACGUUUUCCAUAUAUUUUAUAUAUUCUCAUAACCAAAACUCUGUAAGAUUUUUAUCUACAUACUCACUGUUUUCAAAAUCUGCAGGACAUUUUUCCAAUUUUUGCCUAGUAUUUUUAUCCCAAUAGUCAAGAGUCUCAGUAAUGAUAACCAUAACCCUGGGACCGUAAGUUGAAAAAUAUUCUUCUUCUACAUUACAAUAUUGUGUGGUGUAGGAAUCAUCACUUGCCAAAUUUCAGAGGUCUAAACCUUCCUGCACUCAGAAACACCCAUAUAUACUACUUAUGAUGUGCAAAGUAUAGGAGCACUACAAAAAACUUGGACUCGGUGCUUGUGAGAAAAGGACUAAAAUAUUCUCUAAAGAAUAGAUCCACUGGAUUCCAUAUGUAAAAUAGAUAGCCAACGGGAAUUUGCUGUAUGGCUCAGGAAACUCAAACAGGGGCUCUGAAUCAACCUAGGGGGUGGGAUGGGGAGGGAGAUGGGAGGGAGUUUCAAAAGGGAGGUGAUAUUUGUAUACCUAUGACUGAUUCAUGUUGAGGUUUGACAGAAAACAACAAAAUUCUGUAAAGCAAUUACCCUUCAAUAAAAAAUCAAUUGAAAAAAGAAUAGAUUCAUUGGAUGGAUAUCAGCUUUAUGUUUAUCUUGGGGAAAAUUACCUGGGA
rnacentral:lncRNA from 1 species